rnacentral:lncRNA from 13 species
UACCUGUAGUAGUUUGAUUGUUCCCUUGGCAGUAAUAUUUAUUAUUUUUGGUGAAUUCAAACAAAUAGGUCUAAUCUAAACAUGCUGCGUCACAUAUCAACCGUAGUGAAAAUUUGCUGCAGAAAAAAUGUUUUAUUAAUUGAUCAAAGUAUAGCUUUUGCUACAUUGAAAUGUUCAUUAGGUCUAUUGGCUCUUCGGAGAUGCAGAGGCAGCUCGGUCUCCACUGUCAACAUGUAAUCAGUCAAAAAGUGCUGCAAUCUCCAGCAGCAUUGCAUCCUCAUUGGCAUUAUCAGUAGCAGGGGUAGCGGAGUUAGCCAUAUCCUUCAGCUCAUUGUCAUCUUCAUACUCAGCAAUGAGGUCUUUCAGGCUGGUCUCACUGAUGGAUUUCUCCAUAGAGGUGUCUGUUAGGGUGGAGAUCAAAUCUUUAGCAGAGUCAUCCUUCACAUCCUCAUCAGUAGUGAUCAUGUCCUUAGCGCUCUCAGGGGUCAGUGCCAUGUCAAGAGUGGAGAUCAAAUCUUUAGCAGAGUCAUCCUUCACAUCCUCAUCAGUAGUGAUCAUGUCCUUAGUGCUCUCAGGGGUCAGUGCCAUGUCAAGAGUGGAGGUCUGGUUAAUGUAGUCUGGCGUGUGAAGAUCUAUCAUGGUCUCCGAUGAGACCAUGGAGAUCUGGCUCUGAGAGGUAGAAGUGGUGGUCUGUGUGUCUGUGUUCAUAUCUGAUGUCUGUGUUUCCAUCUGCGCAUGUGUCGAAGUGUUGGUAGAGGAUGGCGUUCUCUCUGUCCUAGUUGCCAUAGACGAGGUGGGCAGAGGGACUCCGGGUAGCUGCCACUCCAGAGGGAGGAUGGCCAGGUUCCGAGCCAGGGAAAACUGAGAGAGGGAGCUCUACCCGGAGGAGAAGGGUGGUUAGGUUGAGGUCAGAGGGGAAAUUGUCUCAUGUUUGAAUCUCUGUCUGUCCGUAUAGUAAUUUAGGUUUCAGUAACUUACGUGGGCACGUGGUAGAGUCGGAGAGUCAGGUCUUAUGUAAAUUUCCUCCACAGGGGUCUUCACUUGCCGGGGUGUCCUUUGAUUUUCCUGCACAACACAAUUGUAACACCCAAUGAUAACACAGCAUUAUGGGAAAGAUCUUUUGCUCACAAUAAAAUAUGAUACAGCAUGUUUGGUUGUUUCACAGAGUUAGGUCUUUGUCCUGAAUUAGUUCCCUUGUGGUCCUGAGAUGAUUUCAACAGCUGAACUUCAGUCCGGUCUUUCUCCCUGCCCACCUUUCCAUNNNNNNNNNNCAUUACAGAAUGCAAUAUGCUUAUGGAUCAUUAUUGUCCAAAUGAACUCUAUGCUGAUAUAUUCACUCUCCCCUACCUGUAGUAGUUUGAUUGUUCCCUUGGCAGUAAUAUUUAUUACUUUUGGUGAAUUCAAACAAAUAGGUCUAAUCUAAACAUGCUGCGUCACAUAUCAACCGUAGUGAAAAUUUCAUGCAGAAAAAAUGUUUUAUUAAUUGAUCAAAGUAUAGCUUUUGCUACAUUGAAAUGUUCAUU